rnacentral:lncRNA from 1 species
UUAAGUGGUGCCGGUGGAUUACCGAUCUAAAUUAUGUCAGUAAUUUAGCUGCCAGUAAGUAAAUCAAAUUAUGUCAUGUAUAUGAAAUCAAGUAAAACAAUUACUUCAAGACAAAAAUGCUGUAGUCUUACGCUCCUAUAGAACAGAUCUUAUUCAUGUAAUGUCAUCAGAGACAUACAUGCAUGUAGAUGCUAGCUUUAAGAAGCUUCAUGUAAACGGUGAACUGGUAGGCAUCCCGUUUUUGUUUUAGUAUUCUGCAAUACAGGCAUGCCAAUCUUUAGUAAAAUCAGUAAGCUCCAUGUCAGUGGGUAUCGAAUUGUCUUUUCAGCAUCUUUGGACGGUUUAGGUCAUCUAAACUGCCGAAGAGCUCUCCUUCAUCAGCACCCCAUUAUCCUAACUAAUCUGCGAGCUCCGCUAACUCAUCUCAACCGGCGUCGCUGGUCCAGUGUCACCAGCGCCUCCACGUCAGUUGUCUAUGAUAUAUAAAAGUUGACGUGGCAAGCAAUAGGUCUGCGAGCUCCUUCGGCAUCGGCGCCUCCCAGCAUGACAAAGACCAUACACGAAUAAUUUCAUAUCAAUCAUAUGCAACAAGGUAUUGCAUCCAAAACAUCCUUAAGCAAAGUGACUGUGCAUGUCUGUGUACCUGGAACCAGAAGGCAGGUGACUGGUAAGGUAGCCAUCCUUCAGCUGCGGCCGUCCUAGUCCAUAUUCUUGGCAUGGACCAAUUGGUACUUGUUUUGGCUUUUCAUGAAGAAGCAAGCAUGUGCUUGUAAUUAUGGAGAAUAUGUGGUGCUUUCCUGCUCCAAGAUAAUGGGUUAGCUUUGACUGUUCUUGCUACAACACCAAAUCUACAUGGAACAAAAACAAAACCAUAACUUUUUAUGCAACAACAAAUAAUAACGUAAUAAAUUAACCAAGAACUUGAUUCUAAAUUGAUAUUGCACUCAAAUCUGAUAGUUCAUCUGAAACAAGAUUUUGUGAAAAACACGGCAUGCACACAAUAGAAUAAACGACCAGGAAAAAAGUGACAAAUCGUGCAAGGUAAAGCUCAUGAGGAAAAUGUUGCAUAGCAUACAAUUUUUAGCUCACCUAUACUCUGUUGCCAUCCACGGAUUUGUAGGAGAUAUCUUGCAGCUGAUAUCGGUUAUUAUGGACUGGAAGUUCAGGUAUUCCAUUCGGUAUAAUAUAUUGGAAUAUGAUCGGAACCUUCUAGCUUACUACUUCUCACUCCUUUCCACCUGUGGACAAUGUAAUAGCACGUUGCAGAGGCAGCCUCAUCCUUGACAUCAAAUCAUCAUCUAAAUUCCGAGAGCAAAUUAAAAUAGCAGGAAAGAAAUUGGACCUAGUUGCACAAAUAAUAGGUAGAUGACUGUGAAACCAUAAAAAAUCAAUCGUAUGAUCAACACAAGAACAAUUUGCCCUAAAAGCUAGUUUUGUUUGCAUGAGUUCAUGAUGGGAUAAACUGCUAGCAAUGCGACCAACAAUAAGUUAAAGAUGGCUUCAGUAAUACAUCCACAGAAUAAUUGAUCUAGCCCACUGUAAGAUUUACUCCCAACCAAAUAUGUGAAUAAGCAUAUCACCCAAAAUGUUUGCAAAUAAGCAUAUGGCAAUACAAUUUAAAGAUGGCUUCAGUAAUAUAUCCACAGAUAAUUGAUCUAACCCAUUGACAUUACUUGCUGCCACAUAACCAAAUGUGUGAAUAAGCAUAUUACCAAGAAAGUUUGCACAUAAGCAUAUGAUAUGGUUAUAAAAAAACAUGGGGAGUGACGCACAGAACCAGGUGAUGUUGCCGACAGUGUAGAAGCUCUUCUCUUAGGAGACGAGACUGCUUCUUCUUCUUGCUUUGAAAAUGACAUUUCUGCUUCUGCAGUCAACUGACAUCAUCACUGGAGGUGAGACUGAUAAAGAGAAGCAUCUGACAAACAACUGGGCUUACAUGAAGAAUCCCUAUGGAAGAGAACAUAAUAGAAAAUUAACAAAUUACAGUACAUACCAAAGAAAGAAAUCUUAUGUGCAUAAAUAGGGCAAAGAAAGCUCAGACCCUAUCUCCUUAAUAAAAAGGACAUGCUUGUUAGUCCAUAGGGCAAAAGGUCAAAAUGAGACAAUUUUAUGCUACACUUGGAUUUGUCUUAGCACUGGACGGGUCGGAGACCCAGCACUCUUCAUGCCAUCCAAAACAUGUCCCAU